CAGCCGCCGCGGGAAAACGAAGGGGGCUAGCGUUGUUCGGAAUCACUGGGCGUAAAGCGCACGUAGGCGGACUUUUAAGUCAGGGGUGAAAUCCCAAGGCUCAACCUUGGAACUGCCUUUGAUACUGGAAGUCUUGAGUUCGGGAGAGGUGAGUGGAACUGCGAGUGUAGAGGUGAAAUUCGUAGAUAUUCGCAAGAACACCAGUGGCGAAGGCGGCUCACUGGCCCGAUACUGACGCUGAGGUGCGAAAGCGUGGGGAGCAAACAGGAUUAGAUACCCCCGUAGUCCCUGUCUCUUAUAC
rnacentral:rRNA from 1 species